GACAGAGGUGCCGAGCGUUAGGCGGAAUCACUGGGCUUAAAGCGUGUGUAGGCGGAGUGCUAAGUACCUUGUGAAAUCCCACGGCUUAACCGUGGAACUGCUUGGUAUACUGGUUCUCUUGGGUCAUCUAGGGGCGAGCGGAACAAACGGUGGAGCGGUGAAAUGCGUAGAUAUCGUUUGGAACGCCAAUGGUGAAAACAGCUCGCUGGGGAUGCACCGACGCUGAGACACGAAAGCCAGGGGAGCGAACGGG
rnacentral:rRNA from 1 species